rnacentral:rRNA from 1 species
UGAGGAAUAUUGGUCAAUGGACGAGAGUCUGAACCAGCCAAGUAGCUUGCAGGAUGACGGCCCUAUGGGUUGUAAACUGCUUUUGUUUGGGAAUAAUCGACAUUACGUGUAAUGUUUUGCAUGUACCAUUCGAAUAAGGACCGGCUAAUUCCGUGCCAUCAGCCGCGGUAAUACGGAAGGUCCAGGCGUUAUCCGGAUUUAUUGGGUUUAAAGGGAGUGUAGGCGGUUGGUUAAGCGUGUUGUGAAAUGUAGAUGCUCAACAUCUGACUUGCAGCGCGAACUGGCUGACUGGAGUGCGCACAACGUAGGCGGAAUUCAUGGUGUAGCGGUGAAAUGCUUAGAUAUCAUGAAGAACUCCGAUUGCGAAGGCAGCUUACGGGAGCGCAACUGACGCUGAAGCUCGAAAGUGCGGGUAUCGAACAGG